rnacentral:rRNA from 1 species
AACGUAGGAGGCGAGCGUUAUCCGGAUUUACUGGGUGUAAAGCGCGUGCAGGCGGUUCGUUAAGUUGGAUGUGAAAGCUCCCGGCUCAACUGGGAGAGGUCGUACAAGACUGGCGGACUGGAGUGUGGUAGGGGAAGGUGGAAUUCCGGGAGUAGUGGUGAAAUGCGUAGAUAUCCGGAGGAACACCAGUGGCGAAGGCGGCCUUCUAGACCACAACUGACGCUCAGACGCGAAAGCUAGGGUAGCAAACGGG